AGUAGUCACGAGUUUGAUCAUGGCUCAGGAUGAACGCUGGCGGCGUGCCUAAUACAUGCAAGUCGAACGGAGUAUAUAAGCAAUUGUAUACUUAGUGGCGAACGGGUGAGUAACGCGUUGGUGACCUGCCCCGAAGCGGGGGACAACAGUUCGAAAGGGCUGCUAAUACCCCAUGUAGUUGAGAGAGACUAGAAACUUUCAACUAAAGGAGUAAUCCACUUCGGGAGGGGCCUGCGUCCCAUCAGCUAGUUGGUAGGGUAACAGCCUACCAAGGCUAAGACGGGUAGGGGACCUGAGAGGGUGGCCCCCCACAAUGGAACUGAAACACGGUCCAUACACCUACGGGUGGCAGCAGUGGGGAAUAUUGGACAAUGGGCGAAAGCCUGAUCCAGCAAUGCCGCGUGUGUGAAGAAGGCCUGCGGGUUGUAAAGCACUUUCAGUAGGGAAGAUUAUGACGGUACCUACAGAAGAAGCACCGGCUAACUACGUG
rnacentral:rRNA from 1 species